GGGCGGGGAAAGCAGUCCGGGGAAAAAACUCAGCCACGCUGGGGCCCCGAGGGCUCAACCUCCAGCGCGCCGCAGCGUGCGCGCCCAAUCCACCUUUGACUUCCAUCCCUUCCAGGCCCGAGCUCCGCUUCCUCCAGCCGCCCCAGCAGCCGGAAGCUGGAUUGCGCCGGCGCCUUCCUCCCUGCUCCCUCUCUCAGCCAGUUUUUCUUUCCUCGCCGUCCCCGCCCCCCUUUCCCGGGGCUAAGCAGCCGCUGCAUGACAACAUGCGCACGGGCGCGAGGCGCGGGAAGAUGGGGCGGUCUAAGGCCCCGAGGGGGCGGGGCGGAGGGCGGCUGCGCGCGAGCUCGGAGACGCCCCUGAUGCGGCGCGAGCUGGCUGUGGUGGCGGCGGCGACGGCCUCCUCGGCUGUGGUCGAGGCUGCGGCGGCGGCUCCUCCGAAUAUUUUUGCUGUCAUGGACCAGUAUGGAGAUAUGUCAGAAGGUGAAGUAGACCAUUCUUUCUUUGAUAGUGAUUUUGAUGGAGAAGAAAAGAAAUGUGGAAGCAGUGUUUCACCAGUUGAUAAGCAAUUUGACAAACUUGGGAAAAGAGAACCAGAUGCAGAAAAUAUAGAUUUUAAAUUGGGUGUGCUUACGAAAGAAGAUCAUCUUACUGAGAAGAGAAAUGAAAGGAAAGAAAAAACACCAUCAGAAGAUCAUAACUUAGAAAACUGUACUGGAAAAUCUUCAUCCUCAUCAAGUUCAGGAUCGAAGAAUGUAUGUAGUACUUCAACAACUGGAAAAAUACAUUUAACCAUUCCAACUAGAAUCCCUAAAAUAGUGAGAGAAGGAGAAGAUGAUUACUAUACAGAUGGAGAAGAGAGUAGUGAUGAUGGGAAAAGACAUCGAAUUAGACCCAAGUCAGCUAAACCAUCUAAUAAUUUUAAAAAGUCCACAAGUAAAAAAUAUAACAAAAUCAGUUCUUCCUCCUCCUCUUCCUCUUCUUCUUCCUCCUCUUCUUCUUCCUCAUCUUCCUCCUCUUCUUCAUCUUCCUCAUCUUCUACAAGCACAGAUACAGAUUGUUCAGCUACAGAAUCUGACGUCUGUCUUUCUGAUUCUCCUCAGUCACCUUCAAAGAAAAGUGCACCUGGUUUAAAAGCUCUACUGUCACCCAAACAAAAAUGCAAACCAGAAAAGUCAAAAGAAGCACCAUCCAUAAAUUCCAAACCAAAACUUGGUGAAUUCGCAGAGGAAUCUGAAGAUACUGUGACUGAUGUAACUCCUUUAUCAACUCCAGACAUCAGCCCUAUUCAAUCUUUUGAACUGGCUGCAUCAAAUGAUCAGAAAACAAAAGUAAAAAGGCAAGAAAAUGUGAGCCAGGAAGCAUUUGGAAAUUUUGAAGACUCAAAGUGUAAUACAAAAUAUCUGAAAUCAGCCAGAGUAGGGAAAGAAAAAAAUGGAUCCAGUCUCACCCCCAAAUCACUCUCAUUAGAAUCCAACUUGGACAACAGAUAUAAACAAAAAGUCUUACAUGAUACACUGGACCUGAAUCAGCUUUUAAAAGCUUUCCUGCAGUUAGACAAAAAAGAACAGCAAAAAUUUACUGUUGAUCGACCUUCUCCAGCACCUAAGAAAAACUAUUCUUUUACAAAGGAGGAAGUAAGACAGAUUGAUCGGGAAAAUCAAAGGUUGUUAAAAGAACUCUCCAAACAAGCUGAAAAACCAAGAGCUAAAAGUACCAUUCCUAGGAAACCUGUUGUUCCACCGCCAAAGUUGUACCACAGUGCUCUCAACAGACAGAAAGAACAGCAAAGGAUUGAGAGAGAGAACUUGUUCCACAAAAAUGGCCAUGAAGAUGGGGAGAGGGGCAUUCCAUACCCAGGGAAUAGGCUGAUUAAAGAUACAGAGGCUUUAUUGAAAAGACUUGAAGCCGUGAAGCCAACAGUUGGUAUGAAACGCACAGAACAACUGAUGGACUAUCAUCGCCAUAUGGGUUACUUAAAUGCAUCCCCAGUCUCUAGACGAGUGAGGUCUACUCUUAGUCAAAUUAGUCCACUGAGAGGAGCUUCCAGGUCCUCUAGUGCUACAAGUGCACUCAGCCGGAAGAGUGAAAGAUCACUUUCUGAUGCAUCCAGUGGCCCUCUACUGAGACCUAAACCCCCUAAUAUGGAGCUGUUAAGUCGGUCUGAGAAUUGUAGGGUAGAAUGAUAGAAGCUUACAGUGGGACCAUCCUAAUAAUCAACUUGAUUUUCUUUAGGUGCUCUGAGUUAGAUACCAAAACUUUGAUCUAUUCCCCUUUCCUCUGAACUAUGAACAAACAUCAGAGAAUACAGAGUGUAAAAUUCUUCUUCCACAUUUUUGCACCAUUUCUAGUUGAGUAGCAGUAUUGCUAAUGAGUGAAUGAGGGAAAGUUUGGAAUUCGAUUCUGCUGCUUUGUGGCACUUUUUAAAGGCCAAAUUGGUAACAACAUUAGUCUUAUGUAACAAGCCUUGAAGCAAGUAUUUUUUGAUUCGGGAAAAAAUGGCACUGAUAUUAUGAAAGACUAAGGAACAGAUCCUGAGACAUCAGAACAAUCUAUUUUAGGAGGUCUUUGAAAGGCUACUGAAGUUAUCUGAAGAUUCCAUACACAUAGCUUGAGUAAUAAAGCUACACGGUCAUCUUAGGUACCAACUUAACGACUCUAGAUUUCUCUGGUGGGAAAGAUGAAGGGAGAUCAACAGAGUAUUGGGCUUAACAGAGAUUGAAUCUGAAGAAAAAAGCAAAAGUUGGGAAGGUUAUUAGUCCUGCUCAUACAUGAAGUUUUUAUCUUCAUGUGCAAUGAAUUCGAUUGCUGUGAUCACUCAGCUUGCCAUAGAAAUAGCCCAAGAAUUGAGGAAGAAUGGGGAUGUGCCAAGUAUAAGAGUAAAGGUACUUUGAAGGUGGUUUAAGUUAUAGAACUCUAAUGAACAGAUAAGUAGAUUGCCUAGUGUAAACAUGAAAGAUCAUUAUAUGUUUAGAAUUGCUUUACAUUUGAGCCAAUGUAGCAAAUACAUAUUGGAAUUUCAGGAUUCUGAACUCUAGAAAGAACCUGUAAACUAGAAGCCAUAAAAAGCAACUUCAGAGGUCACUUAGUCUAUCCUUUCAUUUUAUGAAUGAAGAAAUGAAGGUUCAGGUAAAGUGGUUUAUUCAAACUGUUAUUCAGAAUUGGUUUAAUCUUUGUUAAAUACUAACCUGAUAAUUGGUCUUUACAGAAGCAAAAUGCUUUAAAUUCUGAGCCGCUGAAAACUAUUUCUUGUAGGAAAAAUCCAUUUCCCUUGUUUGGGAAGUACAAAAAAAGCAUGGUCAAACACUUUUCUAGACUCCCACAAAACCAUUUUUAGCUAUAAUGCUACAAAAGAAGUAUUCAGAUUUGAUUGAAUUUGGGACCAAUUUUUAAAUUGUCCCCCAAAUCCGAUUUUAAAGAAGCUUCUUCAGGCAUUCCUUGGAAUACAGAUGUGCUUUGUUUCAUUCAAGUCUUUAUCACCUUCAUUUACAAAUGCUGACUGAAUAAGGAAGAAUUUGGAAAACAAUCCAUAAAUUUGAUUUAAGAAUAACUAGUUUUACUCAUUGUAUAUAUUAAUGAUCAAGAUUAUUGAAUGUGUAAUGUUAUACAGCAAGUGCCUACUGUUUUCUUCUAUAAGUGAUUAUUGUAUAUGAUUGGUGAAUCAGAAAAGACCCAUGGCCAUAUGUGAAGUAUAUAAUGGAUAAUUUUCAUUUAUGUGAAUUUAUUAACAGGACUGUCACACUGUUUUAGUACAAUAAUUCUGUCAACUUUCUUAGCUUUCAGAUGUUUGUAGAUUUUUUUUUAAAUAUUUAGAAAAAAAAUUAUUGGAAAUUAUGAUUCCUUGCUUUUUGAUCUUAGCUGUCAUAAAAAUGUAUUGCCCUCAUUUGAAACAUUAGAAAAAUAAUUUGAUAAUAGAUGAAGAGUAAGUUCAAAUGAAGUUUUUUGUUUUCAAUAGAAAGCAAGAUGAAUCAAAUAGCCUUUCAAGAAUAACAGUGUCCCAGUAUUUUCUUGAAAAUAAGACAAUAGGGGCAGCUAGGUGGUACAGUGAAUAGAGCACCAGGCCUAAAGUCAAGAAAACCUGAGUUCAAAUCUGCUCUCAGAAACUUAACACUUCCUGGCUGUGUGACCCUGGACAAGUCACUUAACCCUAUUUGCCUCAGCCAAAAAAAAAGAAAGAAAAUAAGACAAUAAUCUUGAACAAUAUAGUAGAUCAUUUAAAGGAUAGGCCUAUCAUGAAUAUCCUCAGUAUCAAUUAUUGAUUUUUUUACUUAUUAAUAAUAAUGUACAAGAAUUAUCUUAUUUUCAAAGGCUUUUUAAGCAUCUAGAAUCACAUCAUUUUUUCACAUAUAUAGAAUUAUGAAAUUUUUCCUUUUAAAUUUCCAUGUAUAAUAUCAGUUUUAUGACUUUUAGUGUAAGUACCAUAGAAGCAAAGCAUAUGCAAUGUUGCCAUUGUUGGGAAAGUGCUAAAUAUCUUAAAGAUAAUUUAAAAUUAUUGUUAGAAACAUUAGUAUUAAAGUAAAGAUUGGGCGCAGUGAGUACCUUGUAAGUAAUGUGUAGGAGGAGUCCUGUGACUUUUCUGUCACUUAAAGAUAAAGUUACCAUGAUAAGGCUUACAAUCAUACUCCAUUAUCACAAUAUCAAAGUACAGUUCUAAAAAAUAAAUUAGGGUAUAAAACUUUAAACAAUCUAUGUUAUUAUCUUUGUUGUAAAUUCCUUGGGAGGGGGGGAAGGAAAUUGUAAGGGAAAUUAAAUUAAAAUUUAUCUUUUGGUGUGUUGGACAUUGUCUUUUUAGGCGAACCACCUAAUUUUUCAUACUAACUGUAAAGCCCCAGUAGUGUAAGAAUGAUUUCUGUUACUGAAUUCCAAAGACUCUACUCCAGAAAGUGGCUUUAAUUCUCAUCUGGUAUGCUAAUUCUUAAGUGGCUUCUCCAAUACUUAGAUUCUGGAAUGGAUAGAAGCCUUUAAAUCAACUGACACAGUAGUGAAUAAAAAACUUUACAAGAUAAAUAGAGAAGAAAACUAUAACAAGGCAAUAUAGAAGCUUCAAAUUUUCAUGGAGGCUUUUACCCAGUCUUACCUGAAAUAUAUUAUCUUGACCCAAUUUGGAAGUCCUGCUUUUGGCUCAAAAGAUUUUUCAAAAUGUGUGGUCUGGACGUUCUAUUCAGAGUUAAAGUUCAGUUUUCCCUUGGUGAAAAGCUGUUUCAUCUUUAUUAGAUAGCUAAACCCAAUCUAGCUUAAUGAUACCAUUUUAAGCCAUGAACUAUCUUGCUUCUUAACCUAGAUCUGAUCGACUUUUUAUGUUUCAGCAUGUUUAGUUUUACUCUUGUAUUUCCUGGAGUUAGGACUAAGAGUGAAAAUGACUUUUAAUACCCCCUAAAUUAUAAAAUACUUUGUUUUAGCAUCACACUUGAGUUAGCCAACAAAACUUCCUUUGGAGAAAGACAAGGUAAAUUAGAGGUUAUGUUAAGAAAACUAUUCUUUAGUUCUUUGUAAUGAACAAAGGUUGUUUUUUCAGAUUAGCUGACAGCUUUUGUCAAAGGCCUUUCUUACUUUGAUUAUCCUUCAAGGCCUAGUGCUAGUCUUCUCGAAUUUCUCCCACUCCUGUAUCUAUAUUGGCCUUGCCUUUCUCCUUGCCCUCUCCUUGCACACACUAAUUUAGCAUUUAAUUGUGUUCCUUUCACCUGUUCCUUUAAAUUCUCAAAUAUGCAAGAAACUAUUAGGUGCUAAUCCAGCACUUUGGCACAUAGGUGUUCAAUAGAUAAUUGAUACCUAGAUUUUGAUUAAUUUGUCCUUCCUUUAUAAACAAGAAUUCUCAUUCCUGUUCCCAACUCUUAGAUGGAAAAUUCUGCAAUUUGAAAAGACUUUCCCAGUCUCUGAUUUAUUUUCCAUCUGUAGAUUUGCUGGAUUUAGUUUUGAUUCUGGAUCAUGUAUAAGAUUGACAGAAAGUCUCUGUCUCUUGAGAUAUCUGUAGCUGUUUUUGAAAUAUAUAGUACAUGUGAAACAUUUUUAAAUUAGUAUGCAUUUCAUUCCCUUCAUAAUCUUCCACUCUUCUUAAAACCCCAGUUUAUACAUAAGGUAUGUUCUUGAGUAUAGCUGCUAUUGAAACUUUAUAUAUUUAGUGUAGUAGUCUGUGUUUACAAUAAUUGUUUACAAAAUAUUUACAAAUAAUUCAUGACAUGCAGUUGCCCCUUCACUUGGAAUAUUUUUUUGAAUUUAGAGCCCAGUUUAGAGACCUAGGAUUUUAAUAAAGUAAAAAUUUAGAGAAGUGAGCCGUAAGUAAUAUUUAUUGAGGGUUCACAUUAAUUCAUUAUCACCAAAUCUCAAAUUAAUUGUAGAAGCAUAGAAAUAAUGUUACCUUAUAUUUGCUAGUAUACUUUAAAUCUCUAUGAUGUAAAAUUGAUUUGUGGUCCAGUAGAUUGAAACUUGUUUAUGGUAUGAAAUCCUUGUCCAUUUGGUGUUAUCGCAUAUUAGUAUUAUCAGAUUUCCUAAGAAAUGUCUACUAAAC